GGUGCAAGUUUUUCUAUCGCUUCCUUCUUGUAAGGAAGAGGAAAGUCCGGGCAACACAGAGCAAUCCGCCAUCUGAAAGGGUGGGUACAAAACCGAAAUGUUUUGUAACAGAGAGUGCCACAGAAAACCAGGUAGCCCCGACUGCCGUAAGGCACGUCAGGGUGAUAGUGAAAACGUGAGGUAAGAGCUCACGGGCAUAGACAGUAAUGUUUAUGUUGGGUAAACCUCGGGUGUUGAAAGACCAAAUAAGUUGCAGGCUGAAGGCUGCUCGUCUUCUCCCAUCCCGAGUAAUCGGGACAUUGGGAACUGCAAUGGGUAGGUCGCACAGAUAAAUGAUAGAUAUACCCCAAUUCGUUGGGGUGAAACAGAACCCGGCUUACCAACUUGCAUAUUUA
rnacentral:RNase_P_RNA from 1 species